rnacentral:lncRNA from 1 species
UAAUCACAAAAAAAUUAAUACAGUACAGUGUAGCACCAAACAUUGUACAAUAUUAUUAUAAUACAGUGCUAAUACAAUACAGCAUAAUACAAUACACCAGCAUUAAAAUAAUGCAAUACAGCAUAAUACAAUACAAUAUGCCAAAUGCACCCUAAGGGCACUUGUCUCCUGUUAAUUAUUUUUCCCUAAUAGCUAUUCACUGUUGGUAGCUGUAUAGCUUUGUCGUAAGGCAAGUUAAAUUGCAUAGAUGACUUUCGCAUGUCUGGUCGCACAAUUAAUAUGUCUUAGCACACACUUUAUAUAUGCAGGACUACUUGAGUGGCUCAUAUAUGCAUUCUUUUAAGAGAGUUGGAAACCAUCCACAUAUGGCAAUUAUGCAUGCUUGAAUGCACUUUUGUGCAAUUGGUAAUUAUUCUUGGUUGAAUGCACUUUUGCAUAAUUGGUAAUUAUUUGUGCUAGAAUGCACUUCGUUCUAAUGAUGAUAAUUUGUGUUUCAUCUACACGUUAUUUUGAUGGUGAUAGUUCAUGCUUAAUCUACAUGACAUUAUCUGAUGGUGAUAACUCACGCCCAACCAGAACAUAAUUCUGAUUGCAAUAAUUCAUGCCUAGUCAACAUAAUAUUUUGACGGUGAUUAGUCUACUUCAUCUUGCUCAGAUACGAGCAAUUCGUGUUUGCACUUUUACCCAAAUGUAUGUUUAAGUUGGGGCAAUAAGCCAAUCUUCCCAUUUUUAUGUAGAUGACUCACAAUCAUCUACAUGUUGUCUAGACAAUAGUAACCAAUGAUUGUCAAUGAGCAGUUGAAUGGGUGAUUAUGGUCCAUGAAUCUUUAUCCUCUGCUUGGAGGAUAUAAUUGUUCGCACCUCAUAGGAUAGGAUAAUUCACAAUGGUCGGAGGGUAGUAUAAUCCGUGCAUUAAAGCGAAAAAUAAUUCGUGUUUAAAAGGCAACAUAAUUUGUGCCUCAAAGGGCAACAUGAUUCGUGCCUCAUUGAGCAACAUAAUUUGUGCCUCAUAGGGCAACAUAAUUCAUGCCUCAUAAAGCAAUAUGAUUUUUGCCUUAAUAUGCAAUAUAAUUCAUUACUUAGAGUGAAAUAUAAUUCGUGCCUUACAAGGCAGCAUAAUACAUACAUCGUAUGAUAGUUUUAAUCCAUGCCACAAAGGGCCAUGUAAUUUGUGGCCACGAAGGGCCAUGUAAUUUGUGCCUCAUAGGGCAAUAUAAUUCGUUCUUCGUAAGUCCAUUUUAAUUAAUGCCAUGGAGGGCCAUGUAAUUUGUGCCUUGUUGGGUAGUAAGGCAAUUUUAAUCCAUACCACAAAGGGCCAUGAAAUUUAUGCCUUGUAGGGCAAUAAUUACCCAUCAUAUGUGUUAGGAUCCUUUAAAUGUGAGGACUUCUCGAGAUCAUUCAAUUCCACUUGAUUUAAGGUAGUAAAUAUUAGGAUUCUUAUUUUUCUAGGUUUCCUAAGUACAUUGAUUUUACUGCACUUCCAAUCUUUAAUUGCUGAGCAACGAAAAGGACAAUUUUUGAAGUAAAAGAAGGGCUAUAAAAUAAAUUCAUAACUAUAGCUACAUUCCUUGCGUUGAGAGCUUUAAAACGGUAUAUUGAGGGCCCAAGUCUGACAUGAUAUGCCCAAGUUACGGUCCGUUUAAGCUCAAUGGCUCUGCAAGGCAAGGCCCAUGCGGCUACGGGUUUUAAUUUUAGGUUUUUUUUUGUAUUUUUAAGUUAAAUUAGGGUUAGCCACCUUUUAUAAAUACUCUUUUAUGUUUUUUGAAUGCACCUUUGAUGAUCUUGAGUUUGAUAUCAAUGGAGAGGAUUUUUUGAACUUGUUCUUGAAAGAACAUUUGACUUAUCAAAGGAGUUGCUAACCUUUGUGGUGUCUUGUUUAGCAAUCCGGGUUCUUGAAACUUAGCUUCUCAAGGAUUUGGAUCUUUUAUCCGAAUUCUAAUCAUAUCAACUUUCUUAGGUUCUUAUCAAUCUAGUUGUGGGUUUGUCAUAAUCGCCUCACAUGGCUACAGAGUCAUUCGGGAAUCUCGGGUUUUUCUGCUUUCAAUAAAGGACAUGGGUCCUACCUUGUCUAAAGUGUGUUUUAGCUUUUAUGCUUUUUAAAGUAAAUUAUUAUGGUUUGCUUUUGCUUUUGCUUUUUCUUUAUAAAAAGAUAAGGGUCUUGUCUUAUCUUUAUCUUUUAGCUUUCCAGCUCUAUUUAAGAGCUCUUCCGUCCUUAUAAAAUUCAGAUUGCCAUCAAUAAUAUUUCUAAGUUUUUCCUAAACUUCUAUGGCUUCCUAAGUCUCUCUUCUUCUUCUUCUAGGUAACGAAGAAAAUACUUGAGUUAUUAAACUAAGAGCGUUGAUCUCUAUUUUCUACACUGAGUAUGCUCUACACUUGCCUUGCUUUAAGGAUCCUGUGUAUCAGAAAAGUCAUGAUUUAUUUAUAAAACCGAUUUAAAAUAAAAUUAUUUUCUCACAACGUUCACCCUCUUUAAAGGUCAGAGGUGACCUGUUUUCGGGUGGUAUCGUGAUCAAUGGUUUUUGCUUUUUUUGGUUUUACAUCUCAGGGACUACAGGUAUAUCGGCUGGAAACCAGAACUUGCGGACUACUGGUCCAAAGGAUAGUCUAGCACUAUCAUAGUUCAGGUGUAACAACGUCACGUACCUGUAUACACCCAAGGGGUUUUCAUCAUUUGUCAUCAAUUCUCUCAUGAAGUUGCAGUAUGAAACUCAUAAUUUGCUGUGUUUGAGGUCAUGAUCUUCCCAUGUGGGCUUGCAUGACGCUAGAUCUUUCUUAAAUGUAAAUGCUUAUGUAAGAACAAAUGAUUCCUUUAAUAGAGAAUACAAACUCUCUCAAAAGUAAUUUGUGUUUAACGAAGUUAGCAAACACAAUGAUUAAUUUCACAUUUCCAAGUAAAUAAGAAACAAAUGCACAUAUAACACUCCCUAAACCAAGUUUUAUUCUUCCCUUUCAGAUGAGAUUAACUAGCUUAGGUGGUGAUUGUUCCAACAUAGUGUAUAACAUAGAAAAGAUAAAUAUUUCAAAAUAGGUAGUAAGCAUAUUGAUUUCUCAAGCUUCAACUUAUAACAAAGUCAAUCAUACUAGAACUCAUAUAGUUUAAUUGCGUCGAUUCUCACGUUGCCUUUUUUCCAUGCUUGAUCAUAACAUUGUUGAAUAUAGGUUUUAUGAUAUGAUCAAUUUGGAAGUUCCAUACAUGGGUCAUGUAAAACUUAUUGCAAUAUCUUUCUUUUGAUCUCCCCUUUGUUUGGCUUGGUGUAGGGUGGAAACUGUGAUAAUUAUAAUAAGAUGAAAUUUGAUGAUGGAAUUCUCCUUAACGAGACAUAAAAAACUCAUCUAACAUAGUUUCAGCUUUGUAACGAAGGUAGCCAUUUUGGACUUCUAAUUUUGAGUUAUAGGUGGAGCCAUAUUGUUACUCUCAUCUACGCUCUGAUUACUAUGGUUGACUAUUCAACGCUUGGCAAAAAUAAAGUUGCGCUUUCUAGUUUCUUUAUUAUUCUUUUCUUUUUCUAUGUAGGAAGUAUCUUAUCUUUGUGGAGCACUACGCUGACCCUUGCUUAGAUAAAGGAUGUUAUUCGUACCUGUACGUUUUUGCCAUUUAACAGUGGUAGAGCAUUCUAUCAAGCAAAUGUUAGUUGUAUAUAAAACAUAUAAUUUGAUAAUACUUGCUCUUGUGUAUCUGAUGCAAAUCUGACUUUUCUUCCCUAAAUUGGCGCUUAAAAUCGAGCUUAGUGAAUAUCAAGACAGGUUAACGUGAAAAAAAAUAAAGUUUUAACAUUCCUUCUUCAGUGGUCUUAUGUUAGACUAACACUGACAAUGAUGUAUGCUACAAUUAAAGAUUUUAAAAUUUCCAAUCAUGAGAUUAAUGCUCUCAUAAAUAGCUAACCAUGCUAUGUUUCCUAAGUUGUUAGGAGUUGAGUUUUUACCCUGCUUUAGCCAGCGGUUGUAAUACCCCUAUUCCCUUAACAUAUAUGAUUUUUUUUUUAUAAGAGCAUUUAUGAAUUAGUCACAAUUGAAAUUGUAAGUAGCUUCACAUUGACAUUUUGUUGUCCUUGAGUAGAUAGUUUUUUCUUCCAAAACUUGAGCUUAACAAUGCAAAUGAAAAAAAAAAUUGGUCAUAAUGAUUUCUCAACUACACUAUUGGUUAACAAUUUUAAUCCUUUUCAGCCAUAGUUUUCAUACUUUGCUUCCAUAGCUUAUCUCAUAGCAAGCAUAGACUUAUCAUAUCUUUACCCCUUAAGGUGUCAAAAUGUCACAUUUCAGUUGGUAAUAAGAGAACUUUCUACCUGCUCGAAGUGCCAUUACAUUCAUCUCAUAAAUAUGACCUUCAGGCUGAACUUCUAGCUUUAAGGUGGCAUGCAAUGAAAUUUGCUUCAGUUAUUAUGAUUACUCAUGCAAUGUAAUUUACUAACAAGAAGCUAUAUACAAGUGUGCUAUAAUCUUAGCACUAAUAUAUAAGCCUCCUUAAACUAGGUUAGCUUCACAUAGCGUAUGUUUAUAUGAAAAUGUAAUCAUUAUCAAUUCAAAAGAUUUAAGCACUAAUAGAUUCAAGAAAAACCUGGUGACCAUUAAAAUGGUCGCAAUACUUAGCUUUUAAAGGAAAAGCUUGGGCAGCAAAAUUUCAUGGUUGGUGUAAUUUUACUCUCCCAACGAAGCUAGAGUCAUUAAAGCCUAUGUUUUUAUUUGGUUUUAGGUACGUCUUCCAAUUUCUUGGAUAUUUAUUUUUAAAUCCUUUAUUGUCUUCAAGCUUUUGCUUUUCUCGAUUUGAUUGUUUAUUUUCCAUCAUUUCAUGCAACAAAGUUCGACUAGAAAAUGAUAUUUUUCCAGCCCUCUAGAUAGACAUUCUCUUCUUUUUAAUCUUGCUAAAAUUUUGUGAAUUUUAGGACGACUUGUGUCUUAGAAGACAUGUUCAAGUUAGAAGUGAAUUGCUAUGGCGAACUCGACAACGAUGUGACUUGUCUUGUAUCAUUGUAAUCAAUGAUUGUGUUGGCAAAAAGGCUCUUGUUCUCACACCAACUGGUGAUGCUUGAUUUUUUUUCCAGCCUGUACACAUUGUAACAAACAAAAAGUGGAAAAAUUGGCCUGGGAAAAGGGAUUUCCGGCCAUCUCACUCCAAUGCUUAAGUCAGUGGGUGGAGAAUUUAAGUUGAAUCAUAAAAUUAAAGUUCUAGUGAACUUACCUCUCUUUGAGAGAGUAAUUGGGUAUUUAUAGUAUACCACAUUUUUGGGUGUGUGGGUCAGCUUAUUUUGGUGAAUGCAAGGAGCUAUUAACUUCAUCUCCUGUAUUUUGGGAGAGCAUAGGAUGGUGGCGUACCUGGCAUAAUUUGACACUUGAGGUCAUUUUGAGGAGAAGAUGAAGCACAAUUUUUAAGAUUGAGGAUCAUGCCCCUACUCUCGUGUGCUUGGUGGUCUGGUAGUCAAUUUCUUCAUUCAUUUUUAUCGUGCUUCUAUGAAUCUCUUCUAUUAAUAAGCCUUAUCCCCACAUUUUUGCCUUGCUAGCUUACUAUCUUUGACCAAUUCAUGACCUCCAUCAAGAGUUCCUUGUUUCUUACCUUUAGAGGUCCUUAAUUCCCACCUAAUAAUUUUUGCUCUUACCUUUAAGGGAUCCUAAUUUCCCCAUUGGAGACCCUAACCCCCUUAAGGUAGUACAAAUGACUAAUUUUCAUAUCAACAAAUAUUAUACCAAAAGUCCACAAGCUGAAUCCAUAUUGAUAUCCUGCUACAACUCAUCUCAAGGUUCUUUUAAUUGUUAGUAAUAGAGGUGGCCAAUAGGCUGGGCAGCACGCGGCAUGACAUGGAUACAAUAUGUGUCUAUUCAGCAAGAUUAGAGAUGGGCUAAAGCACAACACAUGAAAAGACCCGUAAUAAACACGUUUCAUUUUUUAAUGAUUUUACAAAAUGAUUAAAUUUUAUGAUUUUACAAAUAACUUGAAAUUGAAUCUUUUAAU